rnacentral:rRNA from 1 species
AGCGUAUAUUAAAGUUGUUGCAGUUAAAAAGCUCGUAGUUGAAUUUCGGAGUUAGUAGGUUGGUCAUGCCUCUGGUAUGUACUGGUCUCACUGAUUCCUCCUUCCUGAUGAGCCUUAAUGCCAUUAAUUUGGUGUUUUGGGGAAUUUGGACUGUUACUUUGAAAAAAUUAGAGUGUUUAAAGCAAGCUAACGCUUGAAUACAUUAGCAUGGAAUAAUGAAAUAGGACGUUCGAUCCUGUUUUGUUGGUUUCUAGGAUUGACGUAAUGAUUAAUAGGGAUAGUUGGGGGCAUUAGUAUUCAAUUGUCAGAGGUGAAAUUCUUGGAUUUAUUGAAGACUAACUACUGCGAAAGCAUUUGCCAAGGAUGUUUUCAUUAAUCAAGAACGAAAGUUAGGGGAUCGAAGACGAUCAGAUACCGUCGUAGUCUUAACCAUAAAC